UAUUUGCAAACAAAGCGAAAUUUCAAAGUUUUCGGAAUUCCGAUUACAAAUUUUCGAAAAUUUGUCGGAAUAAAGUGUGUUUACACCAAAAAAAUGUAAAUAAA